rnacentral:rRNA from 1 species
UACGAAGGGGGCUAGCGUUGCUCGGAAUCACUGGGCGUAAAGCGCACGUAGGUGGAUUGUUAAGUCAGGGGUGAAAUCCUGGAGCUCAACUCCAGAACUGCCUUUGAUACUGGCGAUCUCGAGUCCGGGAGAGGUGAGUGGAACUGCGAGUGUAGAGGUGAAAUUCGUAGAUAUUCGCAAGAACACCAGUGGCGAAGGCGGCUCACUGGCCCGGUACUGACGCUGAGGUGCGAAAGCGUGGGGAGCAAACAGG